UACGAAGGGUGCAAGCGUUACUCGGAAUUACUGGGCGUAAAGGGCGCGUAGGCGGCCCGCUAAGUCGAACGUGAAAUCCCCAGGCUCAACCUGGGAACUGCGUCCGAUACUGGCAGGCUUGAAUCCCGGAGAGGGAUGUGGAAUUCCAGGUGUAGCGGUGAAAUGCGUUGAUAUCAAUAGGAACGCCGGUGGCGAAGGCGGCACGCUGGACCUCUUCUGACGCUGAGGCGCGAAAGCCAGGGGAGCAAACGGG
rnacentral:rRNA from 1 species